GGAUGCGAGCUACCAUGCAGUCGACGGUAGCACAGACAGUCUUGCUCUCGGGUGACGAGUGGCGGACGGGUGAUUAAUGUCAGGGAAACUGCCUGAUGGAGGGGGAUAACUACUGGAAACGGUAACUAAUACCGCACACUGUCGCAAAACCAAAGAGGGGGACCUUCCGGCCUCUUGCCAUCCGAUGUACCCAGAUGGGAUUAGCUAGUAGGUGGGGUAACGGCUCACCUAAGCAACCAUCCCUAGCUGGUCAGAAAGGAUGACCACCCACACUGUAACUGACACACGGUCCACACUCCUACGGGAGGCAUGAGUGGGUAAUAUUGCAGAAUGAGCGCAAGCCUGAUGCAUCCCUGCCGCGUGAAUGAAGAAUGCCUUCUGGUUGUAAAGUACUUUCAG
rnacentral:rRNA from 1 species